rnacentral:misc_RNA from 1 species
AUUAUUUUUAGUUUUAUGUUAUUUAAAGUUUGAUGAAAUAUUUAUAUUUACUUAGAAUUUUUUUUUUCUCCUUACCUUGCUUAGGCCUGCGCCUUCACUUUGUGUCUUGCGCCUAGGCUCUAGAAUCUUUUGGUGCCUUAGUAGGUCAAUAGCUAUGAUUCUACGUGUUUGGAUGGGUGGAUUUGAUUUAAAGGAUUUGGAUUUGAGCCAAAUAUACUGUUGGGUAUCCCAAAUGAAAAUGGAUUUUGAAUUUGUCUGAAACUGAAGAUUUAAAAUAACUACUCUUGCCUUGUUAUUUCAAUUUCAAACUGAUCUCUCUUUCGUCAUUGCUCUGCAUCUCUGUUUCUCAAAUCCUACCCGAUACUUGUAUAGCUACCUCCUCUCCAUCAGUAGCUCUCUCGUCCUGGGUCUUGCUCAUCUUGCUUUCGUCCUCAGUCUUCUCUCAGGUACAAUUCUCAUCUAAGGUUUUGUCUUCAGAACCUAAAAUUUGUUUGUGAUGCUGAUUGGGUGGGUUCAUUUGUCCUGUUACCCAAAGGGAUGUGAGGGACAGAGGGUUAGCUUCUGAACAAUUUUUAACAGAACAAAUGCACUUGAAAUUGGGGUUUAGGAUGAUAAGCAAUCUGAUGAAAAUUAAUUUUUAAUCCGUUAAACUCUUGCUAAUUUUUGUAUUAAUUGAAGCGUUGUUGUCUACUGCUAUCUGAAUUAUUUUUGUUGCGAAUUAUAUUUCUUGCUUCUUUGUGCUGUGUUCUUGUUUAUAGGCUUAAAUUUAUCACUUAAUUGUCCUUGGUUGCUGGUUCGCAUUAUAAAAUACCUGCUAACGCUAAAGUUAGUGAAAAUUGCCAAUUUCCACUUAGCAGGAUUGAGUGAAAUUUUGGUUUAUAAAAUAAAAUGCCUAUAUAAAGAAUAGUUAUAUGUAGUGAUGACAACAGAGUUGGGUAUUUGUGGGUACUUGAUUUAAUCGAAUUCUAAUAAGAUGGAUUUAGGCGGUAUAUAAUCGAGUUUACAACAUGUUUUAAGUAAUAAUAUCCGUGAUGGAUUCGGGUUUAAUUCGAGUUUUGUAUAUUGGAUACUCUUUUAAAUAA